rnacentral:lncRNA from 1 species
UCCAAUCUCUAGAACUAUACAAUACACCAACCACCCCAUUUCAGAACGAACUUCGUACGAACCUGAAUUGUCCGAUUUGAAGGACCAAUCGAUAUCGGAUUGAUUCCAAAACUUGGGGAACAUCAUAAUAUUGUGGGAGGAGUCAUUUGGUGGGUUUUUAGUGAAAUUCAAUCCCUAGAACUAUACAAUACACCAACCAC